rnacentral:siRNA from 1 species
GGGUCUUCGGUGAUUUGUUAUUGU